rnacentral:rRNA from 1 species
GACGAACGCUGGCGGCGUGCUUAACACAUGCAAGUCGAACGGAAAGGCCCUGCUUUUGUGGGGUGCUCGAGUGGCGAACGGGUGAGUAACACGUGAGUAACCUGCCCUUGACUUUGGGAUAACUUCAGGAAACUGGGGCUAAUAACGGAUAGGAGCUCCUGCUGCAUGGUGGGGGUUGGAAAGUUUCGGCGGUUGGGGAUGGAUUCGCGGCUUAUCAGCUUGUUGGUGGGGUAGUGGCUUACCAAGGCGUUGACGGGUAGCCGGCCUGAGAGGGUGACCGGCCACAUUGGGACUGAGAUACGGCCCAGACUCCUACGGGAGGCAGCAGUGGGGAAUAUUGCACAAUGGGCGGAAGCCUGAUGCAGCAACGCCGCGUGCGGGAUGACGGCCUUCGGGUUGUAAACCGCUUUCGCCUGUGACGAAGCGUGAGUGACGGUAAUGGGUAAAGAAGCACCGGCUAACUACGUG